rnacentral:rRNA from 1 species
CCUACGGGGGGCAGCAGUGGGGAAUAUUGCACAAUGGGGGAAACCCUGAUGCAGCGACGCCGCGUGAGUGAAGAAGUAAUUCGUUAUGUAAAGCUCUAUCAGCAGGGAAGAAAAUGACGGUACCUGAGUAAGAAGCCCCGGCUAACUACGUGCCAGCAGCCGCGGUAAUACGUAGGGGGCAAGCGUUAUCCGGAUUUACUGGGGGGAAAGGGAGCGUAGACGGCAGUGCAAGUCUGGAGUGAAAGGCGGGGGCUCAACCCCCGGACUGCUCUGGAAACUGUACGGCUGGAGUGCAGGAGAGGUAAGUGGAAUUCCUAGUGUAGCGGUGAAAUGCGUAGAUAUUAGUAGGAACACCAGUGGCGAAGGCGGCUUACUGGACUGUAACUGACGUUGAGGCUCGAAAGCGUGGGGAGCAAACAGGAUUAGAUACCCGAGUAGUC